UACGUAGGCAGCAAGCGUUGUUCGGAGUUACUGGGCGUAAAGAGUGCGUAGGUGGUGCCCUAAGUCUGUUGUGAAAUCUCCCGGCUUAACUGGGAGGGUGCGGUGGAAACUGGGGUGCUUGAGUGUGGGAGAGGUAAGCGGAAUUCCUGGUGUAGCGGUGAAAUGCGUAGAUAUUCGGAAGAACACCAGUGGCGAAGGCGGCUCACUGGCCCGGUACUGACGCUGAGGUGCGAAAGCGUGGGGAGCAAACAGG
rnacentral:rRNA from 1 species